GCUUAUGCAUCGGAAGCAUCAGAGAAUGGGUGUGCUCUUUGUAGAUCGGUGUACAGGUGGUGCAUGGCUGUCGUCAGCUCGUGUCGUGAGAUGUUGGGUUAAGUCCCGCAACGAGCGCAACCCUUGUCCUGUGUUGCCAGCGGGGCCCUUCGGGGCUGCCGGGGACUCACGGGAGACUGCCGGGGUCAACUCGGAGGAAGGUGGGGACGACGUCAAGUCAUCAUGCCCCUUAUGUCUUGGGCUGCACACGUGCUACAAUGGCCGGUACAAUGAGCUGCGAUACCGUGAGGUGGAGCGAAUCUCAAAAAGCCGGUCUCAGUUCGGAUUGGGGUCUGCAACUCGACCCCAUGAAGUCGGAGUCGCUAGUAAUCGCAGAUCAGCAUUGCUGCGGUGAAUACGUUCCCGGGCCUUGUACACACCG
rnacentral:rRNA from 1 species